rnacentral:rRNA from 1 species
GACGUAGGUGGCGAACGUUAUCCGGAAUUAUUGGGCGUAAAGAGCUCGUAGGCGGACUGUCACGUCUGCUGUGAAAAGCUGGGGCUUAACCCUGGCCUUGCAGUGGAUACGGGCAGACUAGAGGUAGGUAGGGGAGAAUGGAAUUCCCGGUGUAGCGGUGAAAUGCGCAGAUAUCAGGAGGAACACCGAUUGCGAAGGCAGCUCGCUGGGACGUAACUGACGCUGAGACGCGAAAGCGUGGGGAGCAAACAGG